AAAAUUGCAUGCUCUAUCUGAAUUGCAAAAGAAAAAAAUUGGGUUCAGUGUCCCUUUAACCCUCUACUCCCAUAGCUAUCCCUGAGUACAAACACUGAGUACAAAAAAACCUAGUGUGUCUAUUUCCUGUUCUACUCGUAUACUAUUUAUGGCUAUAUAGCUCAAGGGACAUAGUUGCAAUAGGCUGAAGUGAAGCUACAAAAUGAAAGUGUAUAGUUAAAGUGUUUAGUCAUUUUUUUAGUAAUUUUUUGGCGGAAUCGUAACAAAACUUGUAGGAUAACCAUACUACAGGAUAGACCCUAUGAAUGUGUUUCCAGACAUAGUGAUCACAUUUAUAACCAGUGACUAUUUGGAACCAAGCAAAAGUAUUACUGCCAAAAGUUUAUCAGGUUGAAUUCACUGUUGAGACCCUGUGUUCUCCUGGUUCUCAAUUUUAAAAUCCAAUAGGCCUCUUGUUUGGCUAGCAAUAAAGUUCUAUCCCCACCUCGGUCACUUACGGUCACAUGGUCUAUUUUGGUCCAACUUAAGCUAUUUGGCCUUUUGUUAUUUUGAUUCUUAAAAUAUAAAAUUAACCAUGUAGUGUUCCGGACUAAUUGUUAGACACAUGUUCCCUAAUACGAGUUUUUAUUUCACGGGAGAUCAUGCCCACGUAUUGUAAAUUACAUUCAUUGCAGGUCAACAGGUAAAUGGCAUAGGUGGCUCGACAAUAAUACCACAUUUUCUGUUUGAAUAAUUCACCAGUUGCUGUGCUUGAAAAGUCCUCACCGAUACUUACAAAUUCACUUUGCGUGUUAAAUUGUGGCAUCUAUAAACUCCAUUGUUAGCCAUUAGUUGGAAUCCUUAGCUCUCCCUUUUAGUCUGGUGGGAGCUACUCUAUUACCUAUGGUCAUGCCUCUUUUGUACGCACAGCAGCAGCCUUUUCUUGUUAGUUCCAUAAGAUCAUCAUCGGCUGAUAAUAGCGAGAAAUGUUUCCUCACUAUAUUACAAACCUGAUGAUAUUGGUCCCUAUAGGUAGUGAUAAAUGUUGCUCUUCUUUCCGGCUUUUUGACCUUAAAGUGACAUAAAACAGGUUGAGAUCUGUGCAUAUCCUAAAAGGGCUAAUUAAUUAAAAAUAAUUUGCAUAAAAAAAUUGUUUAAAAAUUGCUGGCAUUUUAAAAUAAUUAAAAAAAAUAAGCAAAAUAAAGUAAAUAGCGGACAUGUGCACGAUCGAAAAUUUCGUUUCGAUUAGUUUUUUUUUGUUUCGUUAUAGUUGGAUUGAUUCAUUAUGCAUCAGUCAUUCGUUUCGGUUACAUUCGUGACGCGCCGAAGUGUGAUAUUCAAAUUCAUUCGCAAACGUAAUCGAAUUGUUUGUUAUUUUGUAUUGAUUCAUUAUUUCGCCGAUAUUAGUUAUAUUCCGUUAAAUCGUUAUUUCGGAACUUAUUCAGUUCUAUAUUUUCGGAUGCAUUCGUUUUUUUCUAAUUGAUUCGAUAUGUUCGUGAAAUAUGAAAUUGUCGUUAUUGCUCACUAUGAUGCCCUGCAAUUCCUUCUCAACAGCCAGAUAUACUACACGUAAUUAUUAGACAACCAAAAAAAAUGACAACUAAUAUUAAUAAUUUUAUUACACUGUUAAAAUGACUAUAAUAAUAAAUAACUUGAAUAUUUCAUUUAAACACUUAUUAACUUUAUUAUGCAGACUGUGUAGCCAAUCAGACAGCAUGGCAAUUAUGCUUGCAUCACUCCUGCACACUAUAGCCACACCCAUGUAACUAAUAUCUUAGUUUUGGGAGUAGAAGAGCAGGUUGUAGUGAUAAUUUGAUAUGUCUGUUAGAGAAAUUGUGGAUGUGGUAGGGAGGGUUCAUGGAGGUACUAGGGAGAGUUGAGGUAGGGAUAUUGGAUUUAGGGAGAGUGGACGUAGAGACGGUGGAGUUAGGGAGAGUGUAAGCAAUAGGGAGAGGGACCGUAGAGGAAGGGAUAGGCACCUUGUAGGUAGGGAGAAGGACCUAGGAGGUACUAGGGAGAGUGUGGGUAUGGAGAAGGACCUUGGAGGUACUAGGGAGAGUGUGGGUAGGGAGAGGGACCUUGGAGGUACUAGGAAGAGUGUGUGUAGGGAGAGGGACCUUGGAGGUACUAGGGAGAGUGUGUGUAGGGAGAGGGACCUUGGAGGUACUAGGCAGAGUGUGUGUAGGGAGAGGGACCUUGGAGGUACUAGGGAGAGGGUAGGUAGGGAGAGGCAUGGUGGAAAAAAGUGCACCAGUGCUAUAGUAAGGCUAUAAGAGGAGGAGGCCACAUACAUCCUCUGAUAAGAGUGCUGAUGAGGAACAGCAGCCAGCAACACCAUGGCAUAGAGGUCCAAUAUUCACACACAAAGAAAAUCUGGCAGUUGUGAAGCACAUCUUAUUUGCCUGGUAAGACAACUUCAUGGAACACAGUGAGGGAUGCUGUGUACGCAGUUGGAGCAGUGCACAGGACAGCUGCCUGUGUCAGGCACUGGUAUUAUGAUUGCAGGGUGUUGGUGAAAAGAAAAAUGGCCCUAAUGCGCUCCAAGUCAAAGACGGUUUGAUUUAACUGGUGGGAGGAACAGGUCAGGGACAGACUACUUCCAGAGGCUGUUGUCACAGGAGUCCGGAGCACGAGUAGGACAGACGAAUCAAGCAGGCAACAGAGAGCUGAUCCAAAAAAAUACUUUGCAGGGGGAUCAGCCACAAGCACGCCUCGGCCAAGUGACGAAAGUCGUAUCCUAAAAGUGGAAGCUUCUGGAAGUAGAGAUUUGACCACUACUCCUACACGACAAUGAGGCCUGUCUGCGGGGGAGUCCAGCCAACUUUAUUCCCAUUCAUAUCAUUUAACGAAAAGGGAAAAUUAAGAUAAUCUGUCUCCUACAACCUUCUCGCCAUCGACAGGGGGCGUGGUAAAACCAUCUGACCCAGAUUAUGCCCCCAGUUUGGAGGCGCAGCAGGAGCCAACACCUCAGCAGCCACCACCUCAACAGCAACCACCAAACCAGCCACCAGAACAGGCACCACUACAGCCAUAUAGGAGGACGGAGAAGUUGCUGUUAGAAAAUUUGAUUGUGAUUGUUAGGAAUUAUACACCUAACAGUGAUGAAGAGGUUGACACAAGCUGUUGAGUUAAUGAGAAAAUAAUUACAUAGCCACAUAGACACUGUAUUAGUCCGUGUCAACCUUGAGCAGCACCAGGUGAUGGAGCAUAUGCGACAAUCAAUAUUGUAAACAAUUUAUCGUCAACACAACGUUUCAUCGCCUGGUACAUGAAUACCUCGGUCCUGUAUAUUAAUAGCUCUUAUGUCCCCCCCCCCUUGAUGUAUCUCAUGUUUGGAGAGGAGUGCUGUGAAAGAUGCCACUGCACUCAAAAAAAAAUUGGAGUUAAAUAUUUGUCUAUUAAUAUAUACAGUAUAAUAAUAUAUAUAUAUAACUUUUUAUUAUGACUGUUUUUUUAAAUAUCCAUCUAAUUGUUAUCUUACUCUUCGGUAUGUUCCUCCGUCCCCUCGUUUUUUUCCUGCUUCAUCCUUUUUACGCUGAACAGCGGUCCUACCUGCCGUAUACGUAAUGAAGCGUGCUCAUGCUUGAGGAAUUAAUUCAUGCACAAUAUUAUGAUCGCUCGCUCCGUGUAAGUGCAGUGACGAUAGUAUGGGCUUCCCUUUGGUAAUGUGCAUGCGGCUUGCAUGAACGCGCUUAGAGAGACAGACAUAAUUCUGAGUUAGCCGCAUGCGCAUUUAAAGCUAGGGGCGUAUAUUGAACAGAUUUAGACGCCAAUGGGGGAGCCAAUCAGUUUGAUGCGGCUGGAUUAGUCAGCGUAAAGGAAACAUUUUUUUUAUUGUGGGUGGAGGAUCGGCAAGUGACUUGGGUAUACAUUAUUGGCGAAAAAAAGGUUUAGAAAACGAUGAGAAGAAAAUGAUGGAUUAAAGUAACCUUUAUUUUUAAUAUAUAUUUCAAAUCUUAAUAACGAAUACCCUUACUUUACUUUCACUUUAAUUAAUCUGUCUCUAAAGUAAUCAACAUGAAAUGGAUACCAUUACUAAAACAAAAUUUUGUAUGUCAUGAUUCUGAUACACUAUGAAAAUAUUAUUAUAUUAUAUGUUCAGACUGUCAUACACCUGUUGACAUUACUAUAUUUAACAGGAUAAAUUCUCAAAAAGUUUUCCAAUAAACAGUGUAUAUUAUUUUGUA